rnacentral:rRNA from 1 species
AGCAGUAGCCGCGGUAAUACGUAGGUGGCGAGCGUUGUCCGGAAUUAUUGGGCGUAAAGGGAGCGCAGGCGGACAUAUAAGUCCAUCUUAAAAGUGCGGGGCUCAACCCCGUGAGGGGAUGGAAACUGUAUGCCUUGAGUGCAGGAGAGGAAAGCGGAAUUCCCAGUGUAGCGGUGAAAUGCGUAGAUAUUGGGAGGAACACCAGUGGCGAAGGCGGCUUUCUGGACUGUAACUGACGCUGAGGCUCGAAAGCCAGGGGAGCGAACGGGAUUAGAGACCCCCGUAGUCCCUGUCUCUUAUACC